rnacentral:piRNA from 1 species
AUUAUGAAGGCGUGGCAAUACUGGGCAACU